AUUUAUCAGUACAAGAUUUCAUCUGAAUAUUUACCUUUCCUCCCAGUCCUGACCUCUCUCCUGCAGAACCUUCUCCAAUAAUUUCCCACAUGUUCUUUUUCUGCAAAACAUCUCCAGGUUUAACGUCCUGGAAAUGAGCAUUAGAAAGCAUUUGUUAAGAAUGACUGUAUUUUCCUAAAUCAGCUGUUGUACCCCAAUGUCCUUUUAUGCUGACCUGAAAUCCAAGUAAUUUUUCACUGAUUAACUGACUAGACCAUUGAGUUGAACUCAUUGUGAACCGGAUUAACAGACUUCUUGAAUUCAUUGAAAAUUCUAAGUUUCUCACAAAAAAAAAAAAAAGUUAUUGAAUCACUUCAGAAGACUUGGAAUAUGGUGUAGAAGUGGUGCUUUUUUUGUCCUUUUAGAAACUCGAAAGCUUCAGACCCCAUUCAUUGCAAGAAACCAUCACAGACUUCAGAAUUACUCCUUUUGUUUUCCAAAAAAAGAAAAUCAAAAAGAUUUGGAACAACAUGAGGGUGAGUAAAUGACUUUGGGUGGACUAUUGAUUUGACAUAAACCAGAUGUCAUAAUCUACUAUCACUCAAUUAUUCAAAGAUAAAAUUCAGUCAUACAGCCUUUUUUAUCGUCUUCAAAAGCUUACGUUUCUUCGAAACAAUGUUUAUUACAUCUGGAUGUAAUGAUCCAAGGAUUUUUUCUUCAGACUUUAACCGCUAGAAUUAUAAACCACAUGCUCACAUCAAAGAACAUUGGGGUUUACUGGACAUGAUGAUUGAUUAUCUGGAUUUUGGGAAAAUAAGUGAAGUUGCAGUAGCUCAUUCUACCACAAGGGGGGAACUUAAAUGUACCUUUGUUAUUAUACUAUAUUAUACUAUUGUACCAUGGGACAAAUACACGUAUCUCUCCCCAGCACAUUGGUUACCAUCUAAAGAUUUUCAAGGUUCAUUAAUAGACUUACAGAUGGUGUGGAAGGGGAUUGUCUGUUCCCGCCUUCUGGACUUCCUUUCACCCAAUGGUUGAUCAGUGCAAUUCAUGAGGUUAUGAUUGAUCUGGCAAACAUUUCCCAAGAAUUCCUACACAAGAGCUUCCCAUUGAUGGCUGUUCAUGUGCGUCAGACUCUGGCAAACCAAGAGUGUGGGUGUGAAUGUGAAAGUGUAAAGAGCAGAUGUUGUUCCACACUACAUGACGACAUGACCUAUCUCACGCUGCAAAGCUGAAGCCACCUCUUGACCUCCAAACUUGCACAAUCUGAGACUCAUUCAAAGCACUAAUAGAAGUGCCCUGACAUCACUGUUUUCCCUCAUAAGAUUUAAGGGGUGAUAUGAAACAGCUGGUUUCUUAUUAGUUUGACAUGUUCCUUAAUGCUUCUUCCACUAUUACUCCCAUAAAGACUUGAAGUACAG